rnacentral:rRNA from 1 species
UUAGAGUUUGAUCCUGGCUCAGGAUGAACGCUAGCGGCAGGCUUAACACAUGCAAGUCGAGGGGCAGCGAGAUCAGUGCUUGCACUGAUUGUCGGCGACCGGCGCACGGGUGCGUAACGCGUAUGCAACCUACCCAUUACAGGGGGAUAACACUGAGAAAUCGGUACUAAUACCCCAUAACAUCCAGGGAGGCAUCUUCUUGGGUUGAAAACUCCGGUGGUAAUGGAUGGGCAUGCGUUGUAUUAGUUAGUUGGUGGGGUAACGGCUCACCAAGACAACGAUACAUAGGGGGACUGAGAGGUUAACCCCCCACAUUGGUACUGAGACACGGACCAAACUCCUACGGGAGGCAGCAGUGAGGAAUAUUGGUCAAUGGACGCAAGUCUGAACCAGCCAUGCCGCGUGCAGGAAGACGGCUCUAUGAGUUGUAAACUGCUUUUGUACGAGGGUAAACGCAGAUACGCGUAUCUGUCUGAAAGUAUCGUACGAAUAAGGAUCGGCUAACUCCGUGCCAGCAGCCGCGGUAAUACGGAGGAUUCAAGCGUUAUCCGGAUUUAUUGGGUUUAAAGGGUGCGUAGACGGUCGGAUAAGUUAGAGGUGAAAUCCCGGGGCUCAACUUCGGAAUUGCCUCUGAUACUGUUCGGCUAGAGAGUAGUUGCGGUAGGCGGAAUGUAUGGUGUAGCGGUGAAAUGCUUAGAGAUCAUACAGAACACCGAUUGCGAAGGCAGCUUACCAAGCUACUUCUGACGUUGAGGCACGAAAGCGUGGGGAGCAAACAGGAUUAGAUACCCUGGUAGUCCACGCAGUAAACGAUGAUAACUCGUUGUCGGCGAUACAGUGUUGGUGACUAAGCGGAAGCGAUAAGUUAUCCACCUGGGGGAGUACGUUCGCAAGAAUGAAACUCAAAGGAAUUGACGGGGGGCCCGCCCAAGCGGAGGAACAUGUGGUUUAAAUUCGAUGAUACGCGAGGAACCUUACCCGGGCUUGAAAGUUAGUGACGGAUCUUGAAAGAGGUCUUCCCUUCGGGGCACGAAACUAGGUGCUGCAUGGUUGUCGUCAGCUCGUGCCGUGAGGUGUCGGGUUAAGUCCCAUAACGAGCGCAACCCCUACCGUUAGUUGCCAGCAGGUCAAGCUGGGCACUCUGACGGGACUGCCGGUGUAAGCCGAGAGGAAGGUGGGGAUGACGUCAAAUCAGCACGGCCCUUACGUCCGGGGCUACACACGUGUUACAAUGGCAGGUACAGAGGGCAGCUACCCAGCGAUGGGAUGCGAAUCUCGAAAGCCUGUCUCAGUUCGGACUGUAGGCUGCAACUCGCCUACACGAAGUCGGAAUCGCUAGUAAUCGCGGAUCAGCAUGCCGCGGUGAAUACGUUCCCGGGCCUUGCAGUCACCGCCCGUCA